GGAAAAUAUAGAAAAGUGAAAGAAAGGAAGAUAUAAUGAAUUAGAAAAGGAUUACCAGAAAAAUAGAGAAAAUAGUAAUAAGAUAAUGUUGACACAAACUUUGAUGUAGCUAGUAAGGAAGACGAUCACGUGGACUGACAUGCAAAUUUAAUCUAUAUAGUAGUAUAUAAUAAGUAUAUUAGCUACAAAUAUGCAUGGAUUUUUGUACACCACAACUAACUCUUUCGGAUUUUAGUAUAGUAUGGUUGUACCAGUAUAUAUUAGUCUAUUAGAAACAACAACAACAAUGUCAAUUCUAAAAACAAAUGUUAAAAUCAAAAGUGAACAAACCUUUCCAAAUGGUGUUUCAAAAAAAAAAAAAAAGAACAAACCUUUCCAAACCAAACAAGUACAUAAAAUAUGCGAGACUGGCUCUUGUCAUGGGAUCCUAAAACAUAGGAUU
rnacentral:lncRNA from 1 species